rnacentral:tRNA from 1 species
GGAAGAGGAUGGGAUCUGGUGGUCCUCGCGGACUUCAAAUCCGUCGUCCCUGACCAAAAAUCGGGGUGGUGGGUUCGAUUCCCACCCCUUCCGCCA